UACGUAGGGGGCGAGCGUUGUCCGGAUUUAUUGGGCGUAAAGAGCGUGUAGGCGGUUCGGUAAGUCUGUCGUGAAAUCCUGAGGCUCAACCUCGGGCGUGCGAUGGAUACUGCCGGGCUAGAGGGUGGUAGAGGCGAGUGGAAUUCCCGGUGUAGCGGUGAAAUGCGCAGAUAUCGGGAGGAACACCAGUAGCGAAGGCGGCUCGCUGGGCCGACACUGACGCUGAGGCGCGAAAGCUAGGGGAGCGAACGGG
rnacentral:rRNA from 1 species